rnacentral:rRNA from 1 species
AUACGGAGGGUGCAAGCGUUAAUCGGAAUUACUGGGCGUAAAGCGUACGUAGGCGGUCCGUUAAGUUAGAUGUGAAAGCCCCGGGCUUAACCUGGGAACUGCAUUUAAAACUGGCGAACUAGAGUUGAGUAGAGGGGAGUGGAAUUUCAGGUGUAGCGGUGAAAUGCGUAGAGAUCUGAAGGAACACCAGUGGCGAAGGCGACUCCCUGGACUCGAACUGACGCUGAGGUACGAAAGCGUGGGUAGCAAACGGGAUUAGAAACCCUUGUAGUCC